GACGAACGCUGGCGGCGUGCUUAACACAUGCAAGUCGAACGGAAAGGCCCUGCUUUUGUGGGGUGCUCGAGUGGCGAACGGGUGAGUAACACGUGAGUAACCUGCCCUUGACUUUGGGAUAACUUCAGGAAACUGGGGCUAAUACCGGAUAGGAGCUCCUGCUGCAUGGGGGGGGUUGGAAAGUUUCGGCGGUUGGGGAUGGACUCGCGGCUUAUCAGCUUGUUGGUGGGGUAGUGGCUUACCAAGGCUUUGACGGGUAGCCGGCCUGAGAGGGUGACCGGCCACAUUGGGACUGAGAUACGGCCCAGACUCCUACGGGAGGCAGCAGUGGGGAAUAUUGCACCAUGGGCGGAAGCCUGAUGCAGCAACGCCGCGUGCGGGAUGACGGCCUUCGGGUUGUAAACCGCUUUCGCCUGUGACGAAGCGUGAGUGACGGUAAUGGGUAAAGAAGCACCGGCUAACUACGUG
rnacentral:rRNA from 1 species